AUUUAAUAAGUUUAUUAGUUGAGUAAUAACGUUUAUCAUCAAUAUUUCACAAGGAUGUUUUCUCUUGUACAAUUUGAUAAUGGUGAAUAUUCCAUUCUACCAUCCAAACGAGUAAAGAUCGUUCAAGGAAAAGAUUGCAUUAUUAAAUAUACUGGAGGUGGGAAGUACAGUGCUGAUUUAAUAGAUUCUUCUGAUAUUCAGGAUAAUUUAAUUGAUCUGAAAACAAAACUGGAACAAAAUGAAAACUUGAUUAAUAAGGAAAAUUCUUCUCACUUAUCAAAUAGAAAGAGUAAUCACUCAUCUGAUUCU